AUUGAACGCUGGCGGCAGGCUUAACACAUGCAAGUCGAGCGAGCGGCGGACGGGUGAGUAAUGUCUGGGAAACUGCCUGAUGGAGGGGGAUAACUACUGGAAACGGUAGCUAAUAACGCAUACCAUCAGAUGUGCCCCGAUGUGAGUAGCUAGUAGGUGGGGUAAUGGCUCACCUAGGCGACGAUCCCUAUCUGGUCUGAGAGGAGGACCAGCCACACUGGAACUGAGCCACUGUCCAGACUCCUAUGGGAGGAAGCAGUGGGGAAUAUUGCACAAUGGGCUCAAGCCUGAUGUAGCCACGACGCGUGUGUGAAGAAGGCCUUCGGGUUGUAAAGCACUUUCAGCGAGGAGGCGUUACUCGCAGAAGAAGCACCGGCUAACUCCGUGCCAGCAGCCGCGGUAAUAC
rnacentral:rRNA from 1 species